rnacentral:rRNA from 1 species
AGUGAACGCUGGCGGUAGGCCUAACACAUGCAAGUCGAACGGCAGCACAGUAAGAGCUUGCUCUUACGGGUGGCGAGUGGCGGACGGGUGAGGAAUACAUCGGAAUCUACUUUAUCGUGGGGGAUAACGUAGGGAAACUUACGCUAAUACCGCAUACGACCUACGGGUGAAAGCAGGGGAUCUUCGGACCUUGCGCGAUUGAAUGAGCCGAUGUCGGAUUAGCUAGUUGGCGGGGUAAAGGCCCACCAAGGCGACGAUCCGUAGCUGGUCUGAGAGGAUGAUCAGCCACACUGGAACUGAGACACGGUCCAGACUCCUACGGGAGGCAGCAGUGGGGAAUAUUGGACAAAGGGCGCAAGCCUGAUCCAGCCAUACCGCGUGGGUGAAGAAGGCCUUCGGGUUGUAAAGCCCUUUUGUUGGGAAAGAAAAGCAGCAGGUUAAUACCCCGCUGUUCCGACGGUACCCAAAGAAUAAGCACCGGCUAACUUCGUG